rnacentral:rRNA from 1 species
UCGCCUUUAGAUGGGCCCGCGUUGGAUUAGCUAGUUGGUAGGGUAAAGGCCUACCAAGGCGACGAUCCAUAGCUGGUCUUAGAGGAUGAUCAGCCACACUGGGACUGAGACACGGCCCAG